UACGAAGGGGGGCUAGCGUUGCUCGGAAUCACUGGGCGUAAAGGGUGCGUAGGCGGGUCUUUAAGUCAGGGGUGAAAUCCUGGAGCUCAACUCCAGAACUGCCUUUGAUACUGAAGAUCUUGAGUUCGGGAGAGGUGAGUGGAACUGCGAGUGUAGAGGUGAAAUUCGUAGAUAUUCGCAAGAACACCAGCGGCGAAGGCGGCUCACUGGCCCGAUACUGACGCUGAGGCACGAAAGCGUGGGGAGCAAACAGG
rnacentral:rRNA from 1 species